UAUUUAUUUCCUAGUGUUUAAUUUGAAAAUAUGACAUGAACUCAAGUUUGAGGAAUAUAAUAGAUUUUCUAUAUUUGUUUUUAACUUGUGUAUCUUUCCCUCCAAUUAGGGUAUAUACAGUACUUAAGCACUAUGAAUAUUACGUGUGUCUUUUUAAUUGUGAUGUAUUUUCUCUUGAUUGCUAAGAGCUGAGGAUUAGCUUUGUAACUUAUAUGUUAUGUGACAUUAUACUUCACUUUCUUCUCUAAAUGCCCAGAUGCCUCACAUGUGAACAUUUUUUUUUUUUGUAAUAUGCAAUUAAAAUGAUUGAUGCCAGUGGAUUUUUUUCCCUAAAUACAGGCAAUUCAAGACUUUGGAAAAGUUGCUUUAGAUGUUUGUCUUACUUUAUAUUACUACUGCAAAAAAGAAAAACUUCAAGAUUGCUAUCCUCAGGCUUGACUCAUAUUAUAGGGUUCAAAAAUAGAUUGAUCUGAAGAAAUGCUUUUAAAUGAUUUUAUAUGUUGCCCAUGGGGUUGUUCUGAUCUUUUCUAAUUAUAUAUUUACUCAGAGGCCAAAUAUGUGAGGCAGAUACAUAAAUGUGGCUAUUUAUUUUAUGAGGACUACAAAAUACAUCUGCUACACAACAACAGGAAUAAUACUAUUCAAGGGCUUACUGCAAUAUCAUAUUUAAUCUUUAUACAGGUCCAAUGACAGACAAACAUUUCCCUGAUGGAAUGUUAUAUAAAAGUCUUUAUUGUAGGCUUCUGAACAGACAAGAAUAGUUAUAGGCAAGAAACAAAUAAAAUGACACAGGUUAAUGUUUUGACGAAACUCUUCUUCAGAACUGACUACAAAGUUAGGUUCAAGAUAAAGUAUUGUCUAAAGCAAUAGUUUUUCCCAUUUUGUAUUGGAUAAAAUUACUUUCUUAUGAUACUGCAUGUAUAAAAAUGUUAGUACAUAGCCAGCCUGUAGUAAAGUUUGAAUAAGUUUCUAUUUACCUUUUUACUAUAUUGGCUUCUGUUUUUCUGUAAUAUGUCAUAUUUGCAAAGGAUUUUUAGUUUUAGUUUCACAAUUAUUUUCUUUAAGAAGAGUUUUGUGUGCAUGAAAGACUUUCCAUUUGCCAUCCACAGUGGAAAUUCAAGGUUAUAUGUGGAGAUAAGGGAAGUUCAUGGGAUAACAUGUAUUAGGAAGCAGCAAGAACUGCUUUUCACUUCUGGGUACCAGACUACAUCUGGCCAUUUUACAAGAUUAUGGUUUCCCAAGGAGGGAUUUGUCAAUCUUUAGUCUUCAAUGACCCUAGUUUUAUUGGGUUGCUUCUUGUAGCAAAAUAGAACAUGGUAUGGUCACUUUAGGAUGAUUAUGGUUCCUCUGACUUGUGAGAGGACUGAACCCAGAAUUCAGAAAAACAACUUUAUUUUGUGUAUGAGUCCCCAGGAUGACCUAAAAUACAUCUGUGUUUUGAAAGUUUUUGGACACAAUUCCUGACAGAAUUCCCUAGGGCUAUUCUGUGCUGAAGGGCCAAUAGCUGUUUGCUUAGCUUUUAUACAUGGCAAGAAAAUGCUUAGAUUUAAUAUAUUUGACAGAGAUAACCCCUAGGUUUUAUAGAUGGCUGUUUGUUUCCAUAAAACACCUAGAACAUUCAUAGAGAGAUGUCAUUAUGCUUUCUUUUAUGAAACUACAGAAUAAAAUGUUUCCUAUACAAAUUUCCUGUCACUCAUUAUAAAUAUACUGUGAUGGAAAGAAAUUUUGUAUAAGGUAGGUUUAUCAGGGAUUCUGCCAUCUUGUUUUAUAAUCCAUAUUAAUUACAUAAAUAAUAGUAGUAUUGCAGUGCUUCUGUCUAUGUAAUUGGAUUCUUACAAAUA